rnacentral:rRNA from 1 species
UACGUAGGCAGCGAGCGUUGUUCGGAAUUACUGGGCGUAAAGAGUGUGUAGGCGGUGCUAUAAGUUCGGUGUGAAAUCUCCCGGCUCAACUGGGAGGGUGCGCCGAAAACUGUAGUGCUCGAACGUGGGAGAGGAAAGCGGAAUUCCUGGUGUAGCGGUGAAAUGCGUAGAUAUCAGGAGGAACACCUGCGGUGUAGACGGCUUUCUGGACCAUUGUUGACGCUGAGACACGAAAGCGUGGGUAGCAAACAGG